UACGGAAGGCAGCAGUGGGGAAUAUUGCACAAUGGGCGCAAGCCUGAUGCAGCCAUGCCGCGUGUAUGAAGAAGGCCUUCGGGUUGUAAAGUACUUUUCAGUCGUGAGGAAGGUGUUAAGGUUAAUAACCUUAGCAAUUGACGUUAGCGACAGAAGAAGCACCGGCUAACUCCGUGCCAGCAGCCGCGGUAAUACGGAGGGUGCGAGCGUUAAUCGGAAUUACUGGGCGUAAAGGGCACGCAGGCGGUUAAUUAAGUUGGAUGUGAAAUCCCCGGGCUUAACCUGGGAAUGGCAUUCAAGACUGGUUAGCUAGAGUCUUGUAGAGGGGGUAGAAUUCCAUGUGUAGCGGUGAAAUGCGUAGAGAUGUGGAGGAAUACCGGUGGCGAAGGCGGCCCCUGGGACAAAGGACUGACGCUCAUGUGCGAAAGCGUGGGGAGCAAAC
rnacentral:rRNA from 1 species